UACGUAGGGGGCAAGCGUUAUCCGGAUUUACUGGGUGUAAAGGGAGCGUAGACGGCGAAGAAAGUCUGAAGUGAAAGCCCGCGGCUCAACCGCGGAAUGGCUUUGGAAACUUUUUUGCUGGAGUACCGGAGAGGUAAGCGGAAUUCCUAGUGUAGCGGUGAAAUGCGUAGAUAUUAGGAGGAACACCAGUGGCGAAGGCGGCCUGCUGGGCUUUUACUGACGCUGAGGCUCGAAAGUGUGGGGAGCAAACAGG
rnacentral:rRNA from 1 species